rnacentral:lncRNA from 1 species
UCUUUUCAAAUGUGAAUUUUUUUCUACAUCAUCGCUAAAUUGAAGAAAAUUGAUAAUCAAUUGAAAUGGGUUGAAACCCUAAAUUGAAGAAGCUCCGUUUGUUGGUCUCUCAAAACUCUGUCUGAAUGAUACAGACAGAAAGACAUUUCUCUCCUCAAUCAUCGCUCAAAUGUCAUUCUUAAGGUUCACCUUUCAUUCUUCUUCUUCUUCUUCUUUUUCUGUUUCCUUCUUAAGGCGAUUAUACUCUCACUCUCCAUUUCAUGUUAAUAAUGCUGAUGAUGCUAUUUCCUCAUUCAAUCGCAUGCUUCGUAUGAAUCCAACCCCAUCCAUUGUUGAAUUUUGCAAGAUUUUAGCUUCCCUUGUU